AUUUGUUAAAUCUCAGUUGAAAAUUACAGAUGAGGCAGACCAGAAAUAUGACACUUGGGAAUAAAAGUAAAUAAAUAGACUUUAAAUAAGACAACCAAUUUGACAGCUAAUACAUUUGAUUAAAAUAUAUAAUAAUUGUGUUUAAAAUGCCCUAAAUAGGGGGGGGUAAUAUAACGGUAUUUACUAUGAAUUUUGCGAUUUCUAUCCGAAUAUUUAAAAAUGCACAGUAAUUUAACUAUAUAACCUUUCGCCCUUACGGUAUAGUGUGAAUACUAUACAAAUUUGCUAGCAAACGGCGAAAGUCGACAAAACGUCCUUAUAUUAAAAGGAGCGCUUUCUUUUCGGUUAAUUCUAUUGGUUAAAAAGCCAUGCUGCUGGUAAGGUACAUGGAGCGCUCCGUCCACCUGCAACGCAGGGGGUUUAGUCUGAGCACUGAGACUAUUAUGGAAAUCGUGGCAUGCGGGGCAUUAUUUGCGGUUUGUAGAAAGGCUGUAGCUGUCAAGGACGCACUAUAUUAUUUUGCAGAACUUAUACACGUCGACUUCCCAGUCGAGCCUGUUAUCAACUGCGAUGCUCUUGGCAUUUUAGGCGAUUUCUUAAGCCAAUGCCUAGGACGUAAACUCCACAGUCGAAUUUAUUGGUUUGCUGGGGAACCUUGACCCAGAUAUGUCCCACUGUAGCUAGGUAUAUUUUUAUAAUCUCCGAGAUACUUAACCAUUUUGAAAGAAUUACGUUAUGUCUUUCGAGCGGGAGCGGAGUCCCAAAAGAAUCGAGGAGAGGAAUACAAUUCUGUCGUAUUUACCCUACUUUAUUUACCCUUGUAGUUUAUUUAUCCAUGCGGACAGGAUACAGUAGCACUAAUUUCGUUGGGACGCCUUUGUGGUAACUUGUGUUUGCAUUAAGGAUGUAGACCGGGGAAACACUACUAACUAAAGAUAAUAUAAUGUCCGGGCACGUUAUUUAUACCAUAUUAUAUGCUGGGGAAACUACUGCUACUUGAAAAGGAAAUUGGGUUGAAAUUAACCCCAACCGGAGGGUGGAUGCCUUCUCAGUGUAGAAAACAAGCUCCAUAACUUAUACCAGGAUAAUAUCUGCGCCGAAUCUCGACACGCAAAAUUUCCUUUUUUGGAUGCGCCCCUAAAUUUGCACUGAACCGCACUAAACUGGCCUAAACUUACCCUAAAUUGCAAUAAAUUGCACUGAACUGCCCUAAAUUUACCUUGAACCGCACUAAAUUGCACCGAACUGCACUAAAUUAUUAUUAUCCUAUUUUGGGUUAUUAACCCUGUACCACAUUUUGUGGUGGUCCAUUUUCGGAAUUCCUAAACAUUUUUUUCAGCGUACAGUAAUGCAAAAUAACAAAAUUGAGACGAAAAGGCAAAUUACUGGGUUAAAAUUGUUACAUUUUAAUAUUAUUUCUUAUUUACGUUUGCGAUAUAUUUUAAAUCGUAAUUACGGAAUUUUGACCGUAAACUUUUUGGUUUUAAUUGUACACCGACCUAAAUAAUAAUAGGAUAUACCACUAAUUAAAAGUUUUAAUUUGUCGCCCAGGUUAUUUUUUAGCAAUAUAUUAUAAAUUUCCCUUUUAAAUUUCUUUUGCUAUAUAAUUUUAGGCUGCCAUUGUUAAAUAAUUUAAAGGUGAGUGUUAUUUAAAUUUCUGGCGCAAUCGCCAAAUUCCAUUUUUGGUAAUGUCAGGGCUUAUUCCUGAAACCCAGAGCUCCAUAAUUAAGCCGCGUCGCCGUGGCUCAAUUCGUGGCUUUGCUUGUACCUGUGGGUCCAACCAAAGAACUCUCUGGUUUUUGGGCCUUCGGUUAAAAUUGCCCAACCAAAAACGGGCAUGUCCAGAAACUGGGUAGGGUUUGGCCCAAUUUCGACCUUUCCGUAUUCCAAAUUUAUUUUUUUGGAAUCCUAGUUUUAAACCUUCCAAUAUUCCAAACAUCCCAAUAUUUGACGAUUUUGUCGACAAAAGUCCAAGUUAAUAGCAAACUGUUUUUGGGUUUGUGGGGUCCAAUAAUAGGUUCCAAUUUCGGUAGCCGAUAAUCGUUGCGAAGGUUCUUUGGCUUUCGAUAUUGGUUGGGCGCCGCGUAUUCGGCCGUGGAGGGUGGCAUAUGGAAUUCCGUGUUAAAUCGCGGCCUUUCGGAUUCCAACGCCGUUAGCGACUUGUAUAUAAACCUAUUCGAUAUUAUAUUCGCAAUAUUGCUUUAUCUUUACCAAAAAAAUAAUGGAGUAAAAUUUGGGAUUUAUUAACAAAGGUUUAAUGGGAGGAUAGUUUUUUUAUUAUAGAGGUCGCGAUAUUUCAUAUAGUGUGUAAAGUAAUUGGAAAUUAGGGGGUCCGAUUUAAAAGCAGUUUUACCCUAAGGCUAUCUCUCCGCCGACACCUUUGGAUCUUUGCGGGCUUCCUCGAUAAUUCCUCUUAUUCGAAUAUAUAAUCCUAUUUCCUUUAUUUCCCAUUUCCCACCAUUCGGAAAUAUUGUUUUCCGUAAUCGGUUAACCCAAAAUAUUAAUAGCUGGUAAUAUAACGUAAAAUUAUUUUUUGCGGAUUUAAUAAAAUCCUAUUUAUAAAAUAUUUGUCCCUUUUUUUCUUUUACCAACAAUUCCAUAUUAAUAUAAUUUUAUUGGUUAAAUUUAGGAAUAAUUUUGCCUUUAUUUAAUUUUUUAUAAUAAAUAUAUAUCCAAAACAGCACCCAAAAAAACAAUUUAAAAUUAUAUAUAAAUAAAUAUUAUUCGUUUAAAAACGCCCCAAUUAUUAUAAACGCCCGCGUGCCUAUUUUACCUUUUAUUCCAAAAACGCUUUUUCGUAUUUUUCGUACGGCGAGGUCGAAAUUAAUUAAAAAAAAAGGCCAGCAAAAAUUAUUAUUUUCGUUAAUUAUCAAAUUAUUAAUAAAAAUAUCCCGAUAAAAAAAUCCAAUUUUAAAUAAAAAUUCGUAUUUUUAAAUAUAAUUUUCGAACGCGGUAAAAAAAACCGAUUUAAAAUUUGUUUUAUAAAUAGGAUUUUUAUAAUUACGGAAAAUAAUACGUCGGUAUAUACGGUUCGAUAAUCCGUCGCCGUUAAUUUUAAUUGAAAAUACCGAAUAGGAUUAUUUAUUACGGGGAAAAAUGGCGCCAAUUCGGUUAAAUAAUUGUUUUUUAUUAAUAAUACCGCUAUUAUUACGGUUUUUCCGCGAAAUACCAAAUAUAAUUAUAUUUGGAAACGGUAUCGAACGUUCCGACCGGUAAUUCGUAAUUAUUAUAAUAUUUAAUCCUCCACGAACGUUGCUCCAAAUAUCGUUAUUCGUAUUAUAAAUUUAAAUAAUUUCGUGGUGGUAAUAUUGGAUUACGUUAAUUAUAUUUUUUUCGGUUAUUUUUUGGAAUAUAUUUUUUUUAUUUUCGCGUUUCGUAUAUUAUUAUAAAUUUUUAAUUACCAAUUUCGUUUUUGGGUUUUUUUCGCGGUGCGUUUUCCAGCAAAUUAUCGCGCGGCCGAUAACGUAAAAAAUACGCGUUAUUAAUUCGUUAAUAAUAAAACGUUUUGUCCGGCCGUCCCGUUUAAUUAUAAUAAACCGUUGGCCUCUUACCGUAACGACGGUAAAAUUAAAACCAAAUUCCUUUUCGUUUAUUUACAAAAAACCAAAAAUUAUAAUAAUAAAUUCCAACCUAUUUUCGUUAAUAUUAAAUUUUUCGAAUGCAAUUUCGCCUAACCGAUUAAAUUUUUAUAAUUUUAUAAAAAAUCCGCAAAAAAUAAAACCCAAAAUAAAUCGCCGGGUAUUUUGGGCCGCGAGGAUUUUUUUCGUAUAUUUCCCCAAAUUAAACCAUAUUUUUGAAAUUUUAUUAAUAAAACGGUUAUUUUUAAAUUUUCCAAAUAUAAAAAUAUGCGACCAAUAAUAUUUUAAAUUUUUUCCGGCCUCGGGAUUAUCGACCAAACCAAUAUUUAAUUUCCGUUUUCCUAUUAAACCCUAAAUUGGUUUAUUAAAUUAUACCAAUGGUUUUUAUCGAUAUAUUGGGGUCGGUUUAUAAAUUUUUGCAAAUGCGUCCAAUUUUGGAAUUAUAUCGUUAAACCAGGCCAAUAUAUCGUUUUUAUUUACAUUUAACGGCCAUCCGCGCCACCUUUCGCUGCCAAAAAAUGGAUUAUCGUUUUCGGUGCAUUUUUUUAAAACGGUUUUAAAAAUUAUAUAUAAAUUUACCACGCGCCCGAAAAAAACGUCGCGGGCGCCAAAAAACCCAAUAUAAAAAAAACCAAAUUUCGAUUUAAAAAUUUUAUCCACGUUUUAACGGUAUUCCGAAAAAUUGGCAAAAUUAUUAAUAUUAUAUAAUUAUAAAGUUUAUUGGAAAAAAAAUAAUAUAAAUGGCACUAGGCGGGGAAAAAAGGUAAAUUUGGCGACGAUCCGGUAAAUUUAAUUCCAAAUUAGGGUAUUAUUUGGAUUAUCGGUAAAAAUUGCACGUAAAAAAAAUUUAAUACGGUUAAAAUUAAAAUUAUCGGAAAUAACGGCCAAAUUAAAUUUUGCAAUAUAGCCGAGGACGUUUUUACCUGUACCGCCGGAACGGAAUAAACGAAAAACGGGAAAAUUUUAUACUGUUGAAAAAAAAGGAAAAUAAUAGUUUGGAAAUUUAAAUUAAAAUUAAAAAAAAGUAUUAAAAAAAGGCCGGUAAAUUAUUUUAUUUUUUUGGUUAAAUUGGCCCACCGCGUUAAAGGUGCGCGGUAUUUUUUUUUCGUCGCAAAUCGAAUAAAAUAAUACGUAAAAAGUAAUAAAACCAUUUCCGAUAAAAUUAUCCCUAAUAAUUUUUAAUUAAUAUCGAUUUAUUAUAACGGAUUUAAUAAUGGCGCGGUAAAUUUAAUUCCAAAUUAAAAUAUCGGUUAAAUUAUCGGCGAUAAUUAUAUAUAGGAAAAAUUUGGUACGGUUAAAAACGAAAUGGUCGGGAACGAAAAUUUAAAUUGUAAAAAAUUUUAAAAAAUACCGCGAUUUUUUAUAUUAAAUAACAAAUCGCCAACGGUAAAAUUUUGCGCCGUUUUUAAAAAACCGCGAAUAAUUUCCCGGAAUUUUUGCGUAUUAAUUGAAAAAUACGUUUAACGGAAUAUUUGCUAUUUUUUAUUAAAUUACCCUGCGUCCGCAUUCCGUAAACCUUUUUAUUUUCGCGGAUCGAAUUAAACGAAACGCGGAUUUUUUCCAAUAAAAUUAUUUUAAAUAAUUUCUCGUCUGGGUUUAUAUAUUAUGGCGGAUUAAAUGUUGAAAUGGAAAGACCGUCGGACGCAACCGACGUAAAAUCGAAAUUAUAAUUGCUGCCAACCAUUCAAAUGCACGUGCUGAUAAUUUUAUUAAUAUAUGGGCCCUUCCAAUACCUCCUUAUCCGCCUCCUUAGGUUAUUACCCUGGUAGGGCGCUAGGACCACUGUUUUAUAAGACGCCCAUUAAUUAAUUGUCAAAGGGCUUAUAUUGCAUUAAAUAAUUAGUAGAAUCUUGGUAUUACAUGACGACAGGAGUUUAAUUAGCGCUAGGAGCACGAUUAAAGCGCUGUCACACUCUUUAGGCUAGAUAGCACCACCUAAAACAAUAUAUGGCUCUCCUACCCAAUUAAUGUGCCUGCUCGUGUACGUAGGUGUGCGUUAGCUUACCCCUACCCCUUGCAUUAUCGCUUGCCAACCAUUCGCUGUUGCUGGCAAUUGUUUAUUUUCCACGCUGGGGGCGCCCGGUUUAUUAAUAACAGCUUUUAUUUUCCGCCUGUUUUUUAUUUGUAUUUUAAUUAGCAGGUAAAUCCGUUCGAUAAACGCAAAAACGUUGCGAAAAUGCGAUAGUAAAACCGACGCAAUUAAUUUGCAUUUUAUCCUAUUUAAUCCUCGCACAUUUUUUUAAUUUUUAAAAUAGGUAAAAACGUUAUAAUAAAUAAAAAUUGGGAAGCACACGCAAUUUAAUUAUAUGCAGGAAAACGGGCGAAUAUAAAUUGUUAAAAUAUAUAGCGGUGUUAAUCCGGAUCGCAAUUUUUAAAACGAUUUAUAUGGGGGUAUAUCCAUAAUGGGGCCCCCGAUUUAAUUUUAUAAAUACCACCUAUUAUAUACCUUCCCCCUCCCACCAGCGAAUGCAAUUUUGCCCAAAAUAUUAAUAAAUAAACGUUAUAAAAUAUACCCCUGGUGCAAAUAUCUUUACAAUUUAUUAAAUUUUGUUUUUAUUUUCCGGUUUAUAUCGGUUUUUUGCUUUUGUAAAAAUUGGAAUUGGUUUUUAAUAAUUGGGUAUUUUUAAUUAUUUAUUGCGAAAUAUACCUAAAGGGCCAUUAAAAUUAAAUAAAUUAACGAAAAUUUUAAUUGGGCAAUCGCGCGUGCUAUUUAUUGCAAAACCAGCGAUUUUACCACCGAAAUUUUUAUUAUUAUUUAUAAAUUGUAAAAAUUGCAGGUUUAAAUAUUUGUAUAUCGAGGAUUACCAGCGUAUUAUAUAUUUAUUUAUUUACGUAUGGGCGGGUGCAUAUUAACUUUGGUUAAUUUUGGUUAUAUAUUUUGGUUAAAUUUUUAUUAAUAUUAUAAUUUUUCCUAUUAGUAAUUUGGCAACCAGGAUUUGUGGUAUUCGGGCAAUUUAAUUAUUACCAAAACGAAAACGCCAUUUUUGGUAAUUCAAAAAUUAAUCCACGCCCUCCCUCACGUUUUUACCUUAUAAUCGAUUUUGCACAUUAUUAUCCUUGGUUUUAUUUUUUUUUUACAAAAUACCCCUGGUUUACCCUAGUUUCGGGAUUUUGGUUGGUUUAGGGUUAAUUUAUAUUACCGUUAUAUAUAUUUGCAACAAUUAACGACGGAAAAAAAAAAAUUAACCCAAAAAAAACGUUUAUUAUUUAAAUGCGAAUAUAAAAUCCGUUAUAUUAUUAUUAACCGCAUAUAAAUAACCAACCAAUUCCAACCCCGGUAUAUUAUAAAUAAUCCAUUAUUAAUUACCGAUUAAUUAUAUAAUCCAGCGAACGUUUAUAAAGGUUAAAAAUAUACAAAUUUAUUAAAUUGGUCCCACUUUUAUUUUAACCAAAUUAACGAUAAAUAGUAUUUUGCAAUUGUUUUACAAAUACCAAAACGCAUUUUUUUUUCAAAUUCGCUCCCCGAUACGGUAUUUGUUUACGCAAUCGACGAAAGGACCGAUAAUUGCAACCCAAAAAAAACAUUUACGCAAAUAAUAAAACAAUUGCAAUUAGAAUAAACCCGACGAAAAAUUAUAACUUUCGCCUAUUUUAAUAAAAUAAAAAAUUAAAUUUCGGCGAAUUCGGCGAAUUUUGCGAAUUUUGUUUUUUUAAAAAAAAUAGCGAUAUUUGAUUUGUUAAUUAAUUUUAAACGGGAUAAAUUAGGAAUUUGGUCCGAUAUAAAUAAUAAACAAUUAUAUUGGAAAUUAGCUGAAAAAAACAAAUAUCGGUCGACAAAAUACGCGACCAAUUGUUUUUUAAUAUAAAAUACGUAAAAUUGGCCUAAUUUACCCUAAUUAUAAUUAUAAUUGUCCAAUUUAUACCUAAUAAUUUUGCAAAAUUUAAAAACGGCGUUUAUAUAAUUUUUGCCGUCGAUUAAAUAUAUUUUUUGGGCAAUUGCCCCCGAUUUUAUAUUUACCCAACCGUUUAUGGCCGUUUCAACGGGGAAAUUAUAACCGCGCCAAAAAACGCCAAUAAUUUUAUUUUGCCCAAAUAUAUCGAAAUGGGCGAAAAAUAAAAACGAAAUUUUAAUAAUUGGCGAUUUUUCGAAUGCAAAUUUUAUAGGUUUUAUUUUUUUAUAAUUUCCCAUUUUAUUUACACCGCCGAAAAAAUAAACGAUAUUUUUUUAUCGAAAUUCCUAUUAUAAAUUUUUUUUUUAACCGGUACGCGAUCGAUUUUCGACGUUUAUUGGCAAAUCAUGGGCAAAAUUAAUGGCGUGCCUCCGGUGGUUUUUAUUUAUAGAUUUUAAAUUUUUUUUAAUAUUAAUUUUUAAAAAAAUUUCGACGUUUUUCCUCCAAUUUUAUAACGCAACCGUUAUUAACGGUAUUUAACCGUAUAUAUUAAAUACGUUGGGGUUUGUUUUAAAUUCGAAAAAAAAUUCCACCAUUAAAUAAUUUUUUUCGAUAAUUGCCAAAAUUAAAAUUAUUUUACCAAUGGUUUUAACAAUUAUAUAUUUCCGAAACCCAAUCCGGUCGGCCGGAAUAUUAUUUGGCCUGGAAUUUUUAUCGUUAUCGUUUUCGGGCUCCGGCUCGACCCAGGUAUUUAUUCUAUAAAAAAAUAUAUUUUUUUUUGGCGAAAUUUCGAAAUAACGGCGGAUUUGCCUAAUUUGGCCGCAAACCAAAUAAUUUUUAAUAAAAUUUAUUAAUUUUUAAUCUUAUAUUUCCACCCUAUUAAAUUAUAUAUAAAUUAUUUCGAUAUAAUCGGUCCAUUUUCGUUAAUUAUUUACGUUAUAAAAAAUUUAAAAGGUUUUUGGAACCAAAAAAUAAUUUUCGGGAUUUUUUCCAACCGUAACGAAUAUAAUCUUUUUUUUAUCGAUUUCGUACCACGAUUUAUUUCCGUUAUUUGCGAACGGGAAUUGGAAAUUAUACGACGGGUUUCCACAAUAAAAAAUUCGGUAUUGUUUGGUAUUAUAACGAAACGCCUGGAAACCGUAAUAAUAAAUUUUGUUACAAUAGGGGUAACGUACGUAAAUAUCGCUAAUAUUCCACCAAAUAAUUUUUAUUUUGGGUAUUAUUAAUUCGAAUAUCGGGAAAAAUUUACGUUUGUAAUAAUAGACGGGCGCCGUUUUUUGGUUUAUAUUUAUCGUAAUAAUACCCCAAAUUGGUGCUGCCUAACUAAUAUAACUAAUUUUUAGCCCAUUAUGCAAAAUUGGGCUAUUAAUGGUUGAAAUUACAGGAAUCCCCGGAGGAUAAAACAGCUUACGGUAUAAAAACGAUGCGGUAUAUCCCAUUUUAAAUUUUAUCGCAUUUUAAAUUUUACAAUAGAAAAUAUAUAUUAAAUGCGAUUUUAUUAAAACGGGGUAAUUUUGCCUAAAACGAUUUCGAACCCGAACGGACGAUUAAAUAUUUUCGAAUCCAGGAAAUUUUAUAAUUGGUGUUAAAAUAUUUAAAUAUUUCUAUUAAAUUUUACCACCCUAUUUGUUUUGGUUGGGUUACCGUACCGAAAUUCGUUUGUGGGACGAAAAUAUCCGCGGGUAUAUAAAAAAUCUUUUUGCAAUUCGAAUAAUUGCUAUUAAUUAAUACGAUCCAUAUUUUUAAAAACAGCGUUUCGUUAAAAAAUAAUAAUUAACCUAAUAAAAAUUGUUUUUUCAAGUUUUUCGUAUUAGCGUUUUUCCUAUUUAUUCCAAUUGGUUUUGUUGGUAUUAUUUUCAAUUUGCUAUAUAAUUGGUUAUAAUAUAAAUCCGAACUAUUUUAACAGGUAAAUAACGUUAAAAAUAACGAUUCCCGCAAACUUUGGAUUUUUCAAUCCGUUUAUAUUAAUUAUAAAACCGUGAACCUUCGAUUUUUUAAUUAAAAAAAAGUUGCAUAUUUGUUAUACCGCAUAACGUUUGUACUAAAUAUUUUGGGGAUUAUUUAUAUGGUAAUAUAUGCAAAAUUAUUAAUUCGGAGGAAAUUAAUAUUAUUACAAAUAAAAAGUGGAAAUAAAUUUUAAUAGGCCUCCUAUUUAUAUAAUAAUUGGUAAUAAUAUUACAGCCGAAAAAGGUUAUAAAAUUUUAUUUGGUAAUAUUAAACAUCUUGUAAAUACAGCCCCAAGUUGGACAGUUUGGGCUAUAUUCCAAAUAUUUCGUGGAAAUUAAAACGCCAAUAAGAACGGAUCCCGCCAAUACGCUUACCAUAUUAGCCUUUUAUUGGCAGGCAAAAAUAAUAAUUGUUAAUGUAAUUUCCUUUCCAUCUGUACCAGUAAGUUUUAAAA
rnacentral:sRNA from 1 species